rnacentral:rRNA from 1 species
GGCAGCACAGGUAGCACACCGGGUGGCGACCGGCGCACGGGUGAGUAACGCGUAUGCAACUUGCCUAUCAGAGGGGGAUAACCCGGCGAAAGUCGGACUAAUACCGCAUGAAGCAGGGGCCCCGCAUGGGGAUAUUUGCUAAAGAUUCAUCGCUGAUAGAUAGGCAUGCGUUCCAUUAGGCAGUUGGCGGGGUAACGGCCCACCAAACCGACGAUGGAUAGGGGUUCUGAGAGGAAGGUCCCCCACAUUGGUACUGAGACACGGACCAAACUCCUACGGGAGGCAGCAGUGAGGAAUAUUGGUCAAUGGGCGUAAGCCUGAACCAGCCAAGUCGCGUGAGGGAUGAAGGUUCUAUGGAUCGUAAACCUCUUUUAUAAGGGAAUAAAGUGCGGGACGUGUCCCGUUUUGUAUGUACCUUAUGA